AUGAAUCCGUUGCGACGCCAUCUGGAGUCUCGAGAGUUCGAAAGAACGGGGUGCGGAGCCGACGAAACGCAUAAUAUCUAGUUUAAUAAGAAGAAGAAGACGAAACCUUUAAGGAAACACCAAGCUUUUCGGAUGACAAUGACAGCGAGGGAGAGAAAAUGUCCAAAAAGAAAAUCGACGAAACAAAGAUGAUUCAGAAAUUCCGUGAGUGACCGGCUGGCGUCGAUAUUGUUGGUUUGGCGCUCGGAGAAAGCGUAUUCAAUGUGUUGAGGUCGGAUCCCUUUAAUAUGAAAACUGGAGGAAAAUAUGGCUGUGCUGAAGAAUGCUGAAGAAUGCUGAAGAAUAUAAGCCGAACGACGUAUACAACAUCGGCAUUAGAACACAAUUUAACACGGAGACAAAUAAACGCGACGAAGAAAGUACGGUCAAGUAUAUAGAAGAAGAAUUGUCAAAGCGCAAGAGUAAAAAUAAUAACGAUGCAGCAAAUAGUACAAAUAAUGAUAAGGGAUCAUAUUGCUUGCCAGAGGAAGCAGCGUUGCGUACGAUACUGGAACAGGCAGAGUUUGAGGCAGAGCUCAACCAAUCGUAGUGAGAAAUGCUUUUGAAUCAAAUGCUAUCUGGUAUUUCAGAAGUCAAUCUUGGUAUAGAAGCCAAAAUUCAUAACAUUGAAGCUACAGAGGGGGCAAAAUUUAAACUUCUUUGGGACAAACACAAAAAAAAGACGGACCCUCACAGUUUAUUCCUGCAAAUAUGGCUGUGAAUUUUGUACAACACAACAGAUUCAACAUAGAAGACUCAGAUUUCCAAAAGUUGCAGCAGAAAUUUAACAACAAGAAAAAAUGCAUUACCAAAGAAAACAUUCGAGGAAAACGAAACGAUAAUGGGGAGAAAACGACGGACCAUUACCUUUAUGACAGAUUUAAAAAGCAAUUCAGACGAUUUUAAAUUAGACUUGUAUAAUUAAGUAUGUUAUUAUACUCUGAAUUCAUAUAAGUAAACGUUCGUGAUUUCUUACAUCAGAUGUGUUUUUUUAAUUGUAAUUUAAAUUUAAGAAUCAAGAAACCAAUAAAAAGGAAAUUAAGGAACAAUACAA